GUAUACCUUUCUGAGGCUUUUUGUUUGUUUCAGUGGGGGAAUGGCACUUCUUUGCAGGCAGAAGUCACAAAUCCGGAGUAUCAGUGGUCUGUUCUUUUGAAAUACUGUUUCACAGAUGUUUGCUGUUGUCAGCUGAACUUCAUAUGUUCACCUCUCCUAUAACCACGGCUGCGUCUCACUGCUGAAUUGCACCCUCUCCUUUCCAGGAAGGGCUGAAUCUCUGUGCCACUUUAUUGCAAUUACUGGUUAGAAUCAACCAACCAAACCAAACAGAGCAGGCAGCUCAUGUGGGCUUCCUGGCUCAAGAAAGAGGAAUGAGGCUGAAGAGAGCCUCUUUUUGGUGGGGAAAUGGGGCAGAUAAGGAAAGAGGAUCUGGUGGCACCGAGCACCUGGCAGGUAUUUUGCUGACCUUCACAUGGCAGGAUUUCCCAAAGCACGUUCAGGUUUGAGAUUGCCUGCACGUUCCAGAAAUGCUUUGGCGUUGUUGGUUGCGUGAAAGGAAGCUGCAGGUUUUUCAUGGUGUGUACCUUGCAGUAGCAUCAGAUCCACUCGCUUAGCCAGCAGGCUCCGGCACAGCACUGGGAUCUCUGCAGACUCGUGAAAUGAAAAGGGGAGACAAAUCACGGAGCGAUGUGCAGGAGGACAGCUGACAGAAUAACACAGCUUGGUGAAUUGGGAACGUGGGGCCAAGUCCUGUCCUCCUCAGUCAGAGAACUGUGUGAUAGGAAAAAUUCUGAUAUGAACUGCUGCAACUUUAAAGGACCUGCAAUGCACGGUUAGAGGUGUUCCUGUGUCUUCCUGCUGUAAUGCUUUGCAUGGUCCCAUGGGAUGGUCAAAGCAGUGGGCUUUUCUUAAUGUCACCUGUGCAUGUUGUGUUUUGUACCUGUGGCAUUAACUGUGGGAACAUGCCAUUUGGGGGGAAAAAAUGCAUAUCUUUGCCAUGAAAACCUUCUGUGGAUCAAAUAACUCCCACGCUCACCCUAAGCAUGGAACUCAACACAAAGCUUCAGCGAGUGCUGGUCCCACAGUGGCUAGAUUCCUCUAGUGUUGAGCUGUGUCACAUUGCUGCUCUGUGCAGCAAUCUUCAAGCAGUUUGGGUCCUUCCAGGCUGUGCUUGCAGCAGACUGGCAGCACUGUCCAGGCUGAGGGGGGAUGCCAUCCAGAGCAUUCUGUUUUCAUCCUCCCACCAGCAGCUGCGUGCAGAUUUCCUCAUGUCCUGUCUUGGAUCUGCCUCGCAGUGACUCCGUGCCCUCUGAUGCCAUUUCAUCAGAGCAUUUUCCCUCUCCUCUCUGCAGGUGCUCUCAGCUUCAUAGCGAUGCAGGAAGGGGAGUCUACAUAAACCUGUCUCCAUUCUCAACAGUUGAUUUCAUUUUAAUUAAAACUGGAACAGACUUCACCCUUCCAGGGUUUGGCCACCCCAUUUCUCUUCUUUGAAGCCUCAACCACUUGAGCAGCAUUGCGAGCUACCAUCCUUCUCUUCAUGCCAAAUGCCCGACUGUGGCGUCCAAUUUCCCCAUGCAGGAGCUCCUCAGAGUGGGGAAAGGGAGAGAAAAGAAAAGGUAUGAAGUCAUUCGCAGGCAUCCCAUAUCCACUCGUAUCCAAAAAUGGAGUGAGAUGUCAGUGAAAUUCCCGUUCCCUUUCCUUUUUUUCCUCCUCUUUAAUCACUGCCAAUUUCCUCUUGCUAUUUUUGGAAGCAUUCUUGGCAUUUUCCCUCUCCCUGUCCUUUCUUUCUUUCUCUCCAGCCUUGUGUGGAGCCGAGCAUUCUGGAUAGGGAAGGAGGCUCUGCCAGGUGCUUUGCUUUGUAACCAGCUUUGCUUCUGUCCUCAGCCACCUGUGGGUCUCUCAGAAUUGGAAACCUCUUUUUGCAUAUAAAUAAGGUUUGCUAUGUGCAGGAGCUACGGUUAUGUGUUUAUAAAGGAAGUAAUCAGAUUAAUAGGGCAGCAGUGAGAGCGUUCAAUUAUUCUGGCUUCUGAAUAAUUACCCUCUGUCAGACCAUGUCAGCAUACCUCCUCAUCUUGAAAGCAUUGUCUGAGAUGUGUGCAGCACGGAGGCCUUUCCUGUAACCAAUGGCAAAUCCAAACAUGCCUCAAAACUAACAGGUGGUUUCUCCUGCUCCUUCUGGGUUCAGUGGGAAAAGAAAAGUCUCCAUCCAAGCAUUCAGAGCCAUUUUGAACAUUUUCCUUUAAUCUCUUCUAGAAGUCAUCCCUGGUAAUUGCCUUCUUUCUCAGCUUUUGCAUGUAAACACGCUGAGCUGUUUGGGUAGGAAUCACUCCCCAUCCCAACUCCAGCCACAUGCAGAGGCAUGUCACCAUCUGUGCUUCUCUGCUGACCAGAAAUAGUUCACCUGGCUGUGUUAAGGCUGCUCUGAUGUCUCGGUAUUUCAGCCACUAAAUUGUUUCUGAACACCCAGUUCUUUCCCCUCCUCUGGGAACAAUAGAAUGAAGGUCAAACCUUUGCUCUUACAGCAGAAAUUCCAGUUGCUCCCUAACGGCAUUUCUGCCUGCCAUUGAAUUUCUGCCCUGUUAUAUUACUGAGGCUGUCAUCAUCUUGCUUCUGAUAUUGUAGCCCUCUUCGAAGUGGUGGCUCAGCGUCACCAGCAGAUCUCCCUGCCUGGCUUCUCUUUCUGUCUUGGCCACCAGAUUUAACUGCUUGAUGGAUUUAAUUGUUGCUGCUCUCUCCUUGUUCACUCGAUCCUCUUCUGUCAGUGCAACCGUGGCAUAAAAAUCCUGGCUUCUGUGCAAAUCCUUCUGUUAGGAUGCUAGCAUGACUGAAGCUACUUGUACAGGAGCUAUAUAACUAAUCUCUUAACAAAAAUAAGCAAAAUCUGAUUGAACAGUGUUUCUCAGUGAAAGAAUGAGUAUGUCUGGGAACGAACGAGGGGGUGGUAGCCUGCCAUGUAAGCAGCACUGCUCUUUCAAGCUUUGGAAUAGCUAAAGGACGUGCUUCCCAGAUCUCUAGAUCCAGGUUGCAUCUUCUUGAUGCCACGUGACAAUUAAAAUAAGCAGAUACCCGUUGUUUAUAAAGCUUCAAAAUACUUAAUAACUUUUGCUUUAGUAUGGGAACUAUACGGCAGUAAGUAAAAGCAGAGAUCUCAUGUGUGUUUCUCUUCUGUUUUCUUGCCCAUUCCUGACAUAACGCUGGCAAGUCCAGAUUUCUUCCGCUUUUGAUUACCAUUUGAAAUCGAAAUCCUGCAGAUUUGAUUUGUGGGCUCUUCAGAUUUGUUUUGCGGGGCUCAGUUCUGGUGCCCUUUAAUGGCUUUAUGAAUGACCUGGAUGCAGAAUUCAAAGAUAAACUAAGUAAACUUGUGGGUGGUGGUAAACAGGAGGGAUCUGUCGUCUCCCUCGAUGGGAGAGCAGCCUUGCAGAGAGGGCUGGCAAUAACCAACUGUGUGAAACUCAACAAGAGUAAGUGCCGGGUUCUGCACCCAGGACGAGGCAAGCACUUUCCUUUUGCUUGUCAGGUUACACGAGGAUAGAAGCCAGACUUUCCCAUCAGGGUUUUGUUUUGGUUCAAAGCUUUGUGAAAGGAACAAGCUGCCACGCAUCACCUCCUCUUGCCGUUGUCACAUGCAAGGCAACUGGCUCCUCUCUCAUGGGCUGUUAGCUCUUCUGAAUUACAUCGUAUUUAUUGUGCCAUGGGAGCACACACACAGCCUGUAACCCACCAUGGCGAGUUGUUUGCCUGCUUAAAGCCUGUGACUGGAUGUGGACGUUCUUCAAUGCCAUC
ensembl:lncRNA